AGACGCAAACAGCGCGCAUUGUCGUCGACAUCGUGCAGGGAUUUCGCCACCCGUUGAAGGUACUGCUUGUAAAUACUGCAAGCAUAUCAGAUAAAGGAGAGCACAAGAAGAGAUGGAAGCCUGAGGGAAAACAACAUGUACGUCAGCCCGCCCCCCCACACACACAUAUACACAACAGAGUGACUCCCUCCACCAUCGCACAAUAUCGACGUCUCCAUAACGCAGAAGCCACGCUUCACGUCUCCUAUUUGGACGUCGAUUUCUUCAGGGAGACUAUUUCGUCCUCCCUCCGAACGGUCACUUGCUGCGGCGCUCUGUGCUGUUUUGUGCCAGUUUCCUUCAACGCCUCCAAGGAUGUUUCCCCGCAAGAUGAUUCUUCGUGAGGCGAA